CUGUAACAUAUACCUACAAAUUGAUUGGUUUAUAGCUCAUUUAAUUGAAUAAUUUCACUUGUUCAUUAGCUAUUACUAAUUGUUGAUCAAUUGUAAAUCUAUUAACCAUAAUUACUAAUUUAAUGAUGGUUAAAUCAUCACGUUUUUCAUCCAUAUUGAUGUUGAAUAAUAAGCAACCAGUUUCUAAACAUCAAUUGAUACUUACGAUAUUGUUAGUAUUUGAAUAGCCACAGAAAAACAGUGUUUACAAUUAGAAUUGAUUUUUUCAAAUUUACAAUAAUUUCAUGCUUUCUACAGCAAUUAGUAUAGCUUUGAAUUUGUCCGUUGUAGAGUUACAUUUCACUAGACUUUCACCUUUUAUUGAAAAGCAGUUGCUUUGCUUGUUUAUUAACUUUAAGGUUAUGGUGUUAAUAAAUUAGAUAUUAUAAGUAGGAUGAGAUGAUGAUGAUGAUAAUGGUGAUGUAGAGAGUAAAAAGAGAGAGGAAAAAAUGGUUAAUUGGGAAGAAGAUGAAGAUGAAAGGAACCAUGAAGUUGAGUGAAUUGGAAAGAAACUUUUUAGAUUAGAUUUCUCAUCGAUUCAUUGAUCCAUAGAGAAACAGACAGAGAAACAAAAUGAAGAUAAAAAACAUUUGAUUAUAAAUUGUUGAAAAAUUAAGCGACCUUAAAAUGAACAGGGAAGCUUGUGAAUAAAUCAAUGGAUCAAUGGCAACUCCAAACUAAUCAACAAUCCAAAGAAUUAGGAUAACCUUAAUUAACCUGUUAAUCAAAGCUGGAAAAAAACCAAGAAUCAAUUUGAGUCGCAAAGGAUUGCCUGAUAUUCACUAGUUCAUACACAUGGAAACUCUCAACAUACACUUGAACAAGUUACCUGUACUUAAAGCAAUUAACAUUAUUUGGAUUGAUGGUUGAAGGAGAAUCAAAUUAACACCAAGUUAACCCCAAAUCAACAACAGUUGGACAAAGCAUUUGAAUCUCAAAAUUUUGAAAUGCUCAAAGUCAAAGAUCUGUUGAAUGGAUUCACCUAAAGUCUCUACUUUAAGAUUUUAUUGUUAAUUCAAUUGAAUAGGAUUUACAAUUGAAACCUACAAAGCAUUCAAUUAGCGUUACAAUUAAGCUUUGAUGAGCUCUUUUGUAUUCAUUUAUCCCGUUACUUUCAAAUGUUAUUACCUUUAAUCUAAUGGGUAAUAAGGUUCAUGACCAAGGUUAACUAUUAUCAAUUGAAUGCCAAAGCAAACACAAAAUUAAUUGUAAUAAUCUUAUUUUUCUGAUAACAUUAUUAUAAGGUUAAUUAUUGUGAAUAGCAAGUUAGGAUAAUAAGUUUAAUUUUUCUGGUUAAACUUGGUUCCAGUUAAUAACAGUAUUGAACAAAUAAUCAUGAUUAGUAAAUUUUACGGCUGACGGUAACUACUAUUUAGUUAAAUGCGAAUAGACAUGUUCAUGAUUUGUAUGCAAUAACAAUGAAAGAAAGAAAUAAUAUUUUGUUUGGUCUCUUGAUUUACUUGAUUAUUAUCAUUACUCGAAUAUAUAAUUACCUGAUUGUUUGCUAUUAAUUUUAUGAGACGAUUAAUUUAAAAUUACAUUUGUUAUGGAUAGCUCAAGGUAAUAGGAAUUGAACAAAAAUUGAGAUUUAAAACAAUUAACAUCUGCUUUAACAACUAAACUGAUUCAAUUACUCACUGUUACCAAUCAAUCUGAUAGCAUCAACACAUCAACAAAUCAGCAACAAUUUUAAGGUUAAUUGUCGAUUUGUAUUGUUUUAUUAAUCGUGAUACACUUUAAGAUAUUAAUCACAUUAAAACAGGAGUAAAGGAAUUAAAAAUGGAAUCUCCGGAUUUUGUGGACAAUAAUUAAGCCACAAUUAGUGAAGAUUAUUAAAGUUGACUUGCUUUGUUCUGUUG